rnacentral:tRNA from 1 species
GUGAUUGUAGCUCAGUCGGUAGAGCUCUGGAUUGUGGUUCCAGCAGUCGUGGGUUCGAGUCCCAUCAAUCACC